rnacentral:lncRNA from 1 species
GCACCCACAUCAGUGUACAAGCUACGCUUGCCACACCACUAGAGCUUUUGGGUGUUGGGGUGGAGGGAAGCUGCUUUGGGAAUAUUUUACACUUCCAGAACCUCUGUCUGCAAGCAUCCCUCAGUGUUUGGCUGACGGGUAGGGAUCCUGUGUUCUUAACAUUCUUUUCUACUUUGCAGGGAUGACUCCCAGCUUUAAAUAUAUGUAAUAUAAGCAAAAACUAUAUAUAGUGAUAGUUAUAUUAAAAUUAGGCAGUGAAGCCCCCAUUCCCUGCUAAUUUAACCAGUCAGUGGUUCUUCCGUCAGAACUUGGCAAAAAGACAAAGAAAUGGGACAAGCGCUAUUUAGAGUAAUUAAAAGCAAAAAGGCAAUAAUAAAAUCCCCUGAGAGAAGGUCUUUCUCUUUAAUGCUUUGUAGUGCUGAAAAUAGCUCAGUUUCUUCAACUUUCUUUCAUGACAGAUCCUAAAGCAUUUCUAAGGGUACCUAAUUCUAAGUUGCACCAUUCUAAAUACAUACACCAGCCUUUUUCAACCUGGUGCCCUCCAGAUGAUUUGCACUAUAAUUCCCAGGCAGGGACUGAUGGGAGCGAUAGUCCAAAGCACCCUGAAGGCUGGAUUCAAAUGUAAGCUAUCUCUAUUAUUGAAUAAUUUUAUUUACAAAUUAGCUUCACUGGAGAAGAGGGAGAUGUGUAAACUGGAAUAAUGCAGUUCAGGAUUUUUGGGGAGUGAAUUUUACAAAGAAAUGAAACCUGGUCAGUUGAUCAUAAUUCAGCACCUUUCCACUUAGGCAUAAUAAAACUAAACCUCAGUAUGAAUCAUCUGGGAAGGGGUUCAAGGCUGUGCUAAGACCACCUGAGCACAUAAACACAAAGAUCCCAUUAAUAUUGAACUCUACGACUAAUGUUACACUUGAUUUCUGUUGUUUAUUUAAUUCCAUUUAUGAAUCACUUCCUGUAAAACAUCUCAAAGUGAUUUAAUAAACACACACACACACACACACACACACACACAAAUAUACAUUUGUUUAAAUUGUUGAUGUUUCUGUAUUAUAUAUAAUUUCAUAUAUAAUGUGUUAUAUAAUUAUUAUGUAUUAUAUAACUUCCUAUAUAAAAACAAUUUCAAAUCCCGGAGAGACUGGGGAGGAAUUAAAAAUGAUACAGUAGAAACAGGAAGGAAUAGCGGUGUGUCGGGGUGUGUGUGUGUGUGUGCUGUUUGCUUCUAGAGAGUGGCUGGGAAGGUUUUCUGAUCCAAAUGGUGCUUCCAAAUUAAAAUGAGGAUGCCUGACUCUCACCAAAUAUAUGUCUAUCCAAAAGGAAUUGGACUUUUAUCUAGGCUUGGACUUUCAAAGCUCUUACUGAUGUGUUUGUAUUGUAAAACUGGGUUUUUAAAUCUGUAUAUCACCUUGUGAUAUUUCAUACACAGAGCCGUAGCUACUGGGGGGCUGGGGGAGCCGGGGAUUUUUGCCCCAGGUGAAGCUUCCAGAGGAGCGCCAUUGAAGCUCCCAGCCUCUGUGUGCAUUUGCAAAUGCGCAUGGGGUGGGUGUACCAACCUGGGUCUUUGACCCAGGUGAAAUAAAGCCUAUUUUUGCCCCUGUUAUACAAAUAGGAAGGAAGGAAAUAGUUGCUUGCCUCUUCUGUCAAGGAGAACAUGCUUCCAAACUGGGACGGUAUUUAUGAACAUAUGCUUAACUUUCUGAAAACUAUAGAUGUUGGGAAAUUCCAUCAGAAACAGGAGCUGAGCUGAAAUUCACAUGUUUGUCAGAAGCCAAGAACAGAAAUUGUGCAAGAGAAUGCAAGCAGUAUAAUUCCUUUAUUUAGUCUCCAAACGCUAUGUAAAUAAUUAAGUUAUUUUCUGCAUUGUUUUUGAUGCUUCCCUUCCAUUGCAAUGCACUGAAAUUGAUUAUAGUACAUAAUUAAGUAUGUUUAUUUCAGCCAGAGUGGAUAGUGAGACGAAUGAUGCAGGUUUCAGCAGAAGCCACACUGGAGUGGAACAGGAACAGCGUCUGAUAAAAGCAGGACAAGACAGAAAUCACGGCCUUCUUACAUCCCUACUGAAAGUGCAGCAUCCAGUUCCUGGCCUUUUAUGAUGGACUUUCCUACACAGGAAUGCAAAACAUGAUUCUCUGGAGCAGAAACACAGGUCGGAUGCCAGAUUUGGAGAGGCAACAGCACAGCGCUUGCCUCCUUGCUGCUUCUGUUUGAGUUCACCAUGCCACAAAGCUAAACCAGAAGUUGUGGGACCUUUAUUUGCAAUGGUAUGUGUUAUUUUUAAACAGGUUGAGGGCUUAUUUCUCUACCAUGGACAACCAGGAAUUGUGACAUGCCCACUCUGAAUCUCACAUGUGGUGCUCUGCCUUUCUGGUCUAGACGUAGUCCAGAACAGCUGGUUUUCAGAACUCUCUGCCUUGCAGGAUUUCCUGGGUGUUCACUAUCUCAUUCGCACAUUCAGGGCUAGCAAAAUGACCUACAGUGUGUUUGUGCUGCUCUUAAUGGGAGCUAGAGAUGCUUCACAUCUGGAAUGUUCCUGGUCCAGUUGUAGCAAAAUGGGAUAGUUGUUCCAUUAAAAAAAAAAAAAAACCACUUCCCAGGAUCCGCUUUGUGUCUCUCAUUCAUCACCCCAGGUGUAGCAAAAUGAUGUACGGUGCAUCUUGGCAGCCUCCGGUGAUGCAUGACUUCUUCACAAGCCUUUGGACCAGCAGCGGGUGCAGUUUCCUCCCUGAGCAGUGUGGUGGCAGCAUUUCCACAGAGAACUGUGAAAAAAUGCUCCCGAAUGUUUCUCACACUGAGACUUUCAUCUUGAAAAUUAAAUGAUCAAUUACAAAAAGAAAA